rnacentral:rRNA from 1 species
GCGAAGUCCGGGCGAGCAGAGGCGGAAAUACGGAGGAGGCAAGCGUUAUCCGGAAUCAUUGGGGUUAAAGGGACCGUAGGCGGGCUUAUAAGUCAGAGGUGAAAGCACUGAGCUAAACUGAGUAACUGCCUUUGAAACUGUAGGUCUUGAAUGUUUGUGAAGUAGCUGGAAUGUGUAGUGUAGCGGUGAAAUGCAUAGAUAUUACACAGAACACCGAUUGCGAAGGCAUGUUACUAACAAAUUAUUGACGCUGAUGGACGAAAGCGUGGGGAGCGAACAGGAUUAGAUACCCCAGUAGUC